GUGGGGAAUCUUGCGCAAUGGGCGAAAGCCUGAUCCAGCCAUGCCGCGUGAACGAUGAAGGCCUUCGGGUUGUAAAGUUCUUUAGCCGAUGAUUAUAAUGACUGUAGUCGGAAAAUAAGCCCCGGCUAACUUCGUGCCAGCAGCCGCGGUAAUACGAAGGGGGCGAGCGUUAUUCGGAAUCACUGGGCGUAAAGCGUGCGUAGGCGGUUUUGUAAGUUAGGAGUGAAAGCCCAGGGCUCAACCUUGGAAUUGCUCUUAAAACUGCAAGGCUCGAAUCUCGGAGAGGAUAGCGGAAUUUCCAGUGUAGCAGUGAAAUGCGUAGAUAUUGGAAGGAACACCAGUGGCGUAAGCGGCUAUCUGGACGAGUAUUGACGCUGAGGCACGAAAGCGUGGGGAUCAAACAGGAUUAGAUACCCUGGUAGUCC
rnacentral:rRNA from 1 species